rnacentral:rRNA from 1 species
AGGUUAAGUGAAUAAGGGCGCACGGUGGAUGCCUUGGCACUAGGAGCCGAUGAAGGACGGGACUAACACCGAUAUGCUUUGGGGAGCUGUAAGUAAGCUAUGAUCCAGAGAUUUCCGAAUGGGGGAACCCAAUAUCUUUUAUAGGAUAUUACUUUUCAGUGAAUACAUAGCUGAUUAGAGGUAGACGCAGAGAACUGAAACAUCUUAGUACCUGCAGGAAGAGAAAGAAAAUUCGAUUCCCUGAGUAGCGGCGAGCGAAACGGGAAGAGCCCAAACCAACAAGCUU